AAGGACUGCCGGGAGUGGAAGGGAGAGGCGGUCACCCUCAGGGGAAACAGGUGUCCCCCCCCCCUGGAGGAAAUGGACUGAUCGGAACCUGGCUGUGACAUCGGCUCAGAAUCCCAGCCUCACUUUGCAGUUGAGGCCAACAGCCUUUUGGUGGUUUCUCUGCAAGUGAAUCAGGAAAAACUCUUAUUGGACGCCGAGAAAGCAAAGCCUGAAGACUGAUGUCUGGGGAAAUGUCAGCCACCGAGGAGGACAUUCCCAAUGUCAAGGAGGACGAAGGAAAA